ACAGCUCCCAACAAUGGUCCCGUCGUUCACGGUUCUAAGAGCUGUUUCAUUUGCGACCUACACAUCACUAGUGUACAGGAGGAGCACGGUUUCCUCUCAGAAUAUUUAGUUUAAGUUUGCAGCUCUCAGCAGAAGCCAACUUCAGCACCCAAGAUGAAGACCUACUUGCCAAAAUUUGCCAUCAAAAAAUACAGCACGUAUGUCGCAAUGACUGUGAUUUUUGUUCACAAUUAUGUGCUUGACAAGGAUUUAAACUGUACUUGUGAUGCUGAGGGAUCCUGCAAUUCAUACAUGUGUCUACCUUUUUUUAUUUUAUUUGCUUUACAACUCUGGACCGACGAGCUUUUCAAGAGAGUCUGGAAAUACUCAUGUCGAAGCCCUAUUUGCUGCAAUUUUUUUGUGUUUUUUUGCAUUCACUUUAUGAAAGCAGUUUGCAUUGGUCUGCUUUGGGUAGUGUCUGUGUUCAUUGAAGGAGACUGGUUUGUUUGCUGUUGGAAUACAUACAAAGAACAUCCACAGUUAGGCUGCAAAGACAAAAAAAACAUCACAGCUGAGGAGCAAGUCCUGAUUGCUAAGCUGAAAAACAAAUCCAUGGUAGGACUUCAUUAGCUGAUGCACACCAGAUUAUUGGCUUGGGUAUACUCUUGGCUGGCUUUUUGGUGGUUAGCCUUGUGUUGCCACUUGGAUGGAAGAAAUGCUGUGAAAAGAACAAGAAAUGCUCAAGUUGCUGUGACAGAAAACUGCUAUAUGACCAAAUGAUUUUGGAGGAGGAAGAAAAUGUACUCACAGAGAUGAUAAGAAAAGCAGCAAAAGAUAAGCUGUCAGAAGAAAUACAGAAAACACUCAACAGUGAACGUUGGGGGGAAUCUUUUGAUGUUGCUGAUCAUCUGAUUACAAGCAGAACUCCACCAGGACGCAGGGAAGACAGUUCUAUGGAAAAUCGGCAGCCAGAGGGGGGCCCCCUAAAGGAUGAGCAUGUUUGACAAAGAUGCACAACAACAAUGUGAGGAAAGUAUCGCCACUGCCAUUCUUAUCAGAAUUCAAGUUUCAUUUUCAGUUUAUAACAAAAAA